rnacentral:rRNA from 1 species
ACGUGAAACCUUGUCUGAACGUGGGGGGACCACCCUCCAAGCCUAAGUACUCCUCGAUGACCGAUAGUGAACCAGUACCGUGAGGGAAAGGUGAAAAGAACCCCUGUUAGGGGAGUGAAAUAGAACCUGAAACCGUGUACGUACAAGCAGUCGGAGCCCUCUUUGUGGGGUGACGGCGUACCUUUUGUAUAAUGGGUCAGCGACUUAUAUUU